rnacentral:rRNA from 1 species
CACCGCGGUUAUACGAGAGGCUCAAGUUGACAGACAACGGCGUAAAGAGUGGUUAAGGAACUUACUAAACUAAAGCCGAACGCCCUCAGAACUGUUAUACGUUUCCGAAGGUAAGAAGCCCCACCACGAAAGUGACUUUACUUCUCCCGACCCCACGAAAGCUGCGGAACAAACUGGGAUUAGAUACCCCAUUAUGCCCAGCCCUAAACUUUGAUAGAUAAUUACACCCACUAUCCGCCAGGGUACUACGAGCAUUAGCUUAAAACCCAAAGGACUUGGCGGUGCUUUACAUCCACCUAGAGGAGCCUGUUCUAGAACCGAUAACCCCCGUUAAACCUCACCCUCCCUUGUUUUUUCCGCCUAUAUACCGCCGUCGUCAGCUUACCCUGUGAAGGACUAAUAGUAAGCAAAAUUGGUAAAACCCAAAACGCCAGGUCGAGGUGUAGCGAAUGAGAGGGGAAGAAAUGGGCUACAUUUCCUAAGCCAGGAAACACGGAUAGUGUACUGAAACGUACAUUAGAAGGAGGAUUUAGCAGUAAGCAGAAAAUAGAGCGUUCCGCUGAAACUGGCCCUGAAGCGCGCACACACCGCCCGUCACUCUCCCCGAGCUAAUAUGAACACAUACUUAAAAACCAACACCUGCAAAGGGGAGGCAAGUCGUAA